rnacentral:piRNA from 1 species
UGAGUGUAGCAGAAUAUCAUUAGGAAUCAUU